AAGACCCGUGCAUAACGAGCGACUGGGGGCGGCGGCUGCUCGAUGCGGAACGACGCCGGCGUCUGGCGGCGGCGGCUGCUCGAUGCGGAACGACGCCGGCGGCUGGAGCUUGCAGGGGCCGGAUCCGUGUGCGGCAGAGGCUGGGGAGGCCGAUUCGGAGGCGGGCGGCAAGGCAGGGGUCGCCGGUGACGAUGAGGAAGGCCGGAGCGUGGUUUCCCUGGCAGAUCCAUGGCAUCCGCGGCUCCUGGGCAGAAAGAAGAAUGGAGAUGAGGGAGAGAAGAAGGAAGAAAGGAGGGGCGGUGCGGUGUCCUAGGCAGGAGCUCGCCGGAGCCGAGCGACGGAGGACGUGCGCUGCAGACGGAGGGAUCCAGAGCCGGCCGGUCGGGCGACAGUACACCAACCAGGCCAGGGGUGGCGUACGAAUGAGGACUUCAUCACCAUCAGGACCUAGCACAUACACAAGUUUGUUGGCCGCUGGAGUUGUUGCACUCGUGGUCGUCGGAGUCUACCACCACGCUCAUGCUCCACAUGCAUGUGGUCUUCGAGUCAGUGCGACGCCCAUGUGGCUGUCCUGUAGCAGAGCCAAGUUGACCGACCGUGGGAGCCAGAACCUUGGUGUCGGGCUGACGGCCAUGCCGCCUGUGGUUAUCUUGGUGUCGCUGACUGUCAGGACGCCUAUUUCUGCUUCCUUCUGGAUGAACAAGGGAGAUGGACGUGUCAGUAGAAUUUGAUCUGAAUUGAUUGAUCGGCUUGUUUUGAUGGCUUUUUGCGACAUGUUUGUUAUGUUUUAGGAUCUUUUUUAAAAUGAAAUUUGAAAAGAGCAUGAGUUGUGAUAGGAUUUUAUAUAUUCUUCGGUUGCUUACUGUAAUCUUUUUGAAACUGAAAUUUGAAAAGAGCAUGAGUUUUGAUAGGAUUUUAUAUAUUCUUCGGUUGCUUACUGUAACCUGUACCUUCUGGUCGAUUGAUAUAGAUAGAAUCAUACUGAUUUCCUAUAAUUUUGUCGUCACAAAGAUGUUCUAUUUGUUUGGUUUGCUGUAUUGUGAUGACCAUCAGAAAUUACCUAUAUAUGCUAUUCGUACUGUUAAAUUUAGUUCUAGCGACCCCGAGGAAGUAAUGUGUUGUACGCCUGACACAUGAUUGAGAAUUAACUUGCUUGAAGAUAUGGUUCAGCUCAAACCUCUUUUCCAAAUAUCAAUGGGCUGCUGUUUUUGGAAAUUUUGAUCAACACUCCGGAAAAAUGUAUGAUGUACCUUUUUUACUUUGGAGUAUCAGUAUGCAAACUCCAGAAUUGGAGUAUUAGCAUGAAAACUUCAGAAAGUUUAUGUGGUCCUGAUACACACAUCAUGAAGUUGGUAACUGUUGUGGUAUUUAUAUUCAGAUUUGACAGGAAUAAAAACUGAACCUAUUAAAUAGUUAUGUUAAGCUAGAUGGUUUACUCAUAUUCAAUCGCUAGAUGAACUAGCCGCAAGAAGCACGGUUAAAAUUCAGCUCCAUUUGAUUUACAUUCAGAUCAUCUUGCUGCAACACCACUACUUUUCUUGAUAGCAAAUAACCAGUUUCAGUCAUCGUUUCUGAUUUGUUUAUUCUAUUAUACCAUAGAUAUCAUAAGAGAUAGUUAAUCGCUUAAUGAGAGUGUUUUGUUCAGUCAAUUGAGUGCCUGCUGGUCUGAUUAGUUUAUGUAUGUGACAGUUCCUUUUAAUAAUUAUAAGUUGCAAUUCCCAGACAAGGCAUAUGUUCUAUUGUUUCCCAGGUUUGUGCAUUCCAAGCCUGCCUUAGGACACCCCUUGUGAUAGUAUGCCUAAGAUAAAGAUAGGCCGUGUCGAAUAUACUGAAGGGUGGGUGCUUAUUGAACCCACAAUCUGUGAGCUGGAUGCCAAAAUUAGAGAAGGAUGAGUACUAAUAUGAUCUGCACGCACAUCUGAAAAUGAUACACAUGACAGGAAGAGAAAGUGCGAAGCACUCUACCCAAUUUCCCGCAUUUCAAGAAGCCAUUACAUUUAUGAUCUUUUCUAUAGAAGAAGGAAGGAUAUGUCAAAUGAUCUGUAUGAGUUUUGCCUGGACCAGGGUUAUGCAGACUGUAAUCUGAUUGUAAAGUGGAAAAGGUCAGUUGCCUCAACUUUAUAUCAUUUGAGCUAGGGACCAAGAUGGAUAAGGUUGAUUUGGCUUGAUCAUGCCAAAGAAAUUUACUUCCUUUUUGGAAAAUGAAAACAUGUUUUGGAGGUUCAGGGUUAAGUUUCCAAAACUGAGCUUUAUAGCAAGGCAAAGAGGAUCAAGAGAAGCAGAGUAGGAUAAUAAAGGUUCACAUAGAUGUAGUAAUCUGUCACUAUCAGCUAGCUCAAGUAUGUAUGACUGUAUGAUAAUACAGGUUCACAUAUAUAUGUAGCAAUCUGUCACUAUCACCUAGCUCUAAUUGAAAUUUUCUUGGAGCAGUUUCAUUUGCAAAUAGACCAGCUACACGGGCACACACAUACACACACACGAGAUAUCAUAUUACUUACAUGAUGUGGGUUUAUUCAGGUUAUUAUGAUAAAUUAUUUGACUGAUCAUUGUAAGCUUUCAAAUCCAGUGGGUAGAUGGCUAGGCUGCCUUUAGAUCCAAUGUACUCCAAGGCAUUGAUAGUGUCUACCAAAUUCAAGUGCUUGGAAGGAAUGUUGAUUGAUGUUAGUAGCUACAGUUGUCUGUAAGCUUUCAAAUCCAGUGGGUAGAUGGCUAGGCUGCCUUUAGAUCCAAUGUACUCCAAGGCAUUGAUAGUGUCUACCAAAUUCAAGUGCUUGGAAGGAAUGUUGAUUUAUGUUAGUAGCUACAGUUGUCUGAAUGAGACAACGUACAGGAGCAAUAAGAAGGAUCUCAUGCUGUACUUAUGGGCUAUCGAGCAGAACCACAUAUAGCCGUGUCUCCUUUGCUGCAUAAAAGGUCAGUAACCUCCAGAUUCAUUGCUUCUUGGUCUUUAUUUUGUUGGUGAAUAAAUUGUAGUACACUGAAUAACACAGAAUGGAUCAGAGUGACUUGAGAUUUUUUUUAAUGUCUAGGUGAAUAACAGAAUUUUUUCUUAUCACAUAGCAUUCUGUUUUGCUAUUUCAAAUGUGCUCUUUAUCGAACAAUCUUUUGGCCUUCGAAGUUUCGAACCAUUCUUUGUCACAAUUUUUUAGAUCGGUUGUAGAUUUUAUUGACCCCCUCACGUAAACUCGGAAUUGAGUGACUCUUUUUACUCUGGAAAGCUUAAGUCAAUAAGCAUCUUGAGAAAAAAUAUAAAAAAAUGGUAAAAAUAUUCAGAGGAUAAGUUGAAGAGAGAAGUUUCAUUAAUUGUACAUGUUUUGGAGCUUAUAUUUUUUAUCGAGAGCUAGGUUUGUUGGUCCUUUUGUGCAAUUAAGCUCGUGCCGCUGGAACCAUGUGUACAUUUAAUCAAGGCAUUGGGGUCCACAGAUCUUGUUACGACACGAAAAUAUUUGAUGAUUAUCAUUGCAGACGCCCUCAGUCUCAGGAACACUCUCGCUAUGUCUUUGAUUCUGUUAAAGACCCAUGUAGGUAUGCCCAACCUGCCAUUUGUUUAUGCUGGCGACUUCAUCAAAGUGCUACGGCAAAAGCAUGCUUCCAAAAGCUAUUCCGAGAUGAUCAUAUAUAUCGAAGCAUGUGAAAGUGGCAGUAUCUUUGAGGGAUUAAUGCCACAAGACCUUAAUAUUUAUGUUACAACAGCAGCAAAUGCGGAAGAAAGUAGCUAGGGAGCAUACUGCCCUGGGAUGGAAACACCAGCUCCUCCUGAAUGUAUGACCUGCUUGGGUGACGCAUACAGGGUUUCUUGGAUGGAAGACAGUGAAACUCACAAUCUACAGAAGGAAACCAUCAAGCAGCAGUACGAGGUGGUUAAAGCAAGAACGGCACCCCCAAAUGACUCCAUUAUCGGUUCUCAUGUCAUGGAGUAUGGUAAAAAGACAUUCAAGGAUGACAAGCUUUUCCUUUAUCAAGGUUUCUAUCCUGUGAAGUCAAUGAUUGUUGUGCAUGCGUGCUAUGCAUAUGAUUCGUAUUUGUGGAUUUUGACAUCAAUAGUUUAUCCAGAAGAAAUAUUGUAAUCUCGUACAGCAAAGCCGACUAAGUUUUCUUCAAAAAAAUAUUGUCGAACGUGAAGGAUCAUACAGGCAUAUGCUUGACUAAAUUGAUAUUUAUAAAAAAAAUUUGAAUUAGAUGCACUAAUUAGAAAAUGUGCAUUUAAAUUCAA